AGUCGAGCGGACAGAAGGGAGCUUGCUCCCGGAUGUUAGCGGCGGACGGGUGAGUAACACGUGGGUAACCUGCCUGUAAGACUGGGAUAACUCCGGGAAACCGGAGCUAAUACCGGAUAGUUCCUUGAACCGCAUGGUUCAAGGAUGAAAGACGGUUUCGGCUGUCACUUACAGAUGGACCCGCGGCGCAUUAGCUAGUUGGUGAGGUAACGGCUCACCAAGGCGACGAUGCGUAGCCGACCUGAGAGGGUGAUCGGCCACACUGGGACUGAGACACGGCCCAGACUCCUACGGGAGGCAGCAGUAGGGAAUCUUCCGCAAUGGACGAAAGUCUGACGGAGCAACGCCGCGUGAGUGAUGAAGGUUUUCGGAUCGUAAAGCUCUGUUGUUAGGGAAGAACAAGUGCAAGAGUAACUGCUUGCACCUUGACGGUACCUAACCAGAAAGCCACGGCUAACUACGUGCCAGCAGCCGCGGUAAUACGUAGGUGGCAAGCGUUGUCCGGAAUUAUUGGGCGUAAAGGGCUCGCAGGCGGUUUCUUAAGUCUGAUGUGAAAGCCCCCGGCUCAACCGGGGAGGGUCAUUGGAAACUGGGAAACUUGAGUGCAGAAGAGGAGAGUGGAAUUCCACGUGUAGCGGUGAAAUGCGUAGAGAUGUGGAGGAACACCAGUGGCGAGGC
rnacentral:rRNA from 1 species